rnacentral:rRNA from 1 species
GCCUACGGCCAUACCAACCUGGCUAUGCCCGAUCUCGUCUGAUCUCGGAAGCUAAGCAGGUUUGGGCCUGGUUAGUACUUGGAUGGGAGACCGCCUGGGAAUACCAGGUGCUGUAAGCU